rnacentral:lncRNA from 1 species
UUUUUUUUUUUUUUUUUUUUGUCUUUUUGCCAUUUCUAGGGCCGCUCCCUUGGCAUAUGGACAUUCCCAAGCCAGGGGUCGAAUUGGAGCUGUAGCCACCGGCCUACACCACAGCCACAGCAACGCAGGAUCCGAGCCGCGUCUGUGACCUACACCACAGCUCACGGCAACGCCAGAUCCUUAACCCACUGAGCAAGGCCAGGGACCGAACCGAAACCUCAUGGUUCCUAGUCGGAUUUGUUAACCCCUGAGCCACGACGGGAACUCCUAGUUUUAUCAUUUGAAUGUGUCUUCUUGUGGGCUUUUUUUUUUUUAUCUGGUGGUAAGCCCAACUUGCCCACAAACAUUGAAAUCAUGAUAGAUGAUGUGGCUGAUUGUAUUUUUGAAAGGUGCCUACUGCAGCACUUCCCCAUCUCAUUUGCUCUUUUAUACUGUGACCUGGCCGUAUUCCCUCAGGACCUCAUCACUCUCUUCCCCUUGAACCUGGGCAGACCUAUGAUCACUUUGCUCAGUAGAGGUGGAACAGCAUUGAGGGACUAUUGAGAAGAAGGACAGGAUUGGGAAAAAAGAUGACUCUCAUUGUGUAGUGGUAGGAAGUUUAGCACCAUUGUUUUUUUGCAAUGCAAUUGUUUUUGCAAUGACAUGGAAAACAAAAAUAAACAUAAUGAAAUGGUGGAUGUUGUCAAAGAGAUUUCCAAGCAGAAGGCCAAAGUGCCAACUGAGUGAUUUCAGCUGUGUAGAAGGAACAAUUUAGUGUAAGAGGAAAUUUGAAGGAAACAUGGACGAUCCAGGACUUGAUGGAUUUGAAAAUAAAACUAUCAUCUCCAUUCUCUCACAGCAGAAAAUCCUCAAAAACAGAAAAUGGCCUCAGGGUGAAGAUCAAAUCCAGGGUGCUAAGAUGAAAACAUCUCAAGGCAAAUAUGAAGCCAAGGCUUUGACUAUAUAAUUCUUUCUUAGGACCUUAAAUAGAUCAAAGCUGAUGUGUCAUAGACUAUUUCAAACAGACAAAAGGACUCCUAAGUACCUUAAGACCAUUUCUUGCAGAUUUUCUCUGUUAAACAAAUCUAAGACUCCUAAGGUUGUUGUCUCAUAGCAGCCUCAGAGAUAUCCCAAGGUAAAGAAGGGCUCAGCUCAAAGAGAUAUGUGGGUGUGGAGUUUAACUGAUGAAAUACGUUUUGUUAAUAUACAAGAAGCCCAUAAUGUUUUAAAAGAAUUGUAGCAUCUUAGACUGAAAGAGACAGUAUAAAAUGAACAGAGCCUUUGAAUAUCUAAGCUUUUAUGGACACCAAGCAAUCUGAGAGGCUACUUAGUUCAGAGCAUGGAAGACUUUGUAUAGAAAUGAAGAAUGACUCAUAAGAUGGAAGUAGGAACUCAGAAGGCAAAGCCAAGCAUCCUGGAGAAUGACUCCAGGUGAGGACUGAGUGCUAACCAAGGAACUGAUAACAAGUACUUGGCUGGAUUUUUGAAAGUGACUACUGUGUGCCUUUUACAUUUCCUCUUUUCCAAUGGGAGGACUAUAGUGAUUAUCUAAUGCUUGUCUCACCUGGAUGUGGGGGGAGAGGACAGAUAAUUUGUACUUUUAGUUCAUAGAUUUUUAUAGAAAGAAGAGCUAUACUCAAAAAAUUGCACCAGUGAAACUCCAUUGUCACCUGGACCUAAUUUAGUUGACAAGAUCUUAGAUUUUGAACUGAUGACACAAUGAGAUGAAACUUUGAAAGUCUGGGGGGAAGGGGUGACUGAAUGCAUGCGAAAGUGGAUGUGAAAGUGGAUGUGAAAAUGGAUACAAAAGUGGCCAAAGGCAGACUAUGGCAGAUUUUAUUUUAUUUAGAUUUCUAAAUAUGACCCCAAGAGUAUCCCAUACCUCACAUGCACUUCUAUGAUGUAACUUUGCUAAUGCUCUUAAGAGAUAGAGCCAAAUUCCCUCCCUUUGCAUCUUGGUAGGCUUGGGACUGUUUUAGCCAAUAGAGUAAGAUGAAAACAAUGAUGUGUGUCUUUCAAGACUGAGUCAUUAACUGUGAUACAGUUUUGACCUUGUUCUCUGGGACACAAUGGAAGAAGUCCAACUACCUGAGGCCACUGUGAGAAAGCCCAGGACACAGGAAGAGAUGUUCUGGUUGAGAGCCUCAAAGAAGUUACAGAUGACAUCCAACAUCAACUUCUAAAUAUGUGAGUGACAAUGUCUCCAGAUGAUUCCGGCCCUCAGCCAUUGAGUAAUAUCCAGCAACUGAUACUUCCAAACCCAGGUGCUGGGCAUCAUGAAAUGGAAAUAAGUCAACUCCACUGUGUUCUGUAUGAGUUCCUGACUCACAUAAUCCAUAAAUAUAAUUUAAAAGUUUUAAGUCAUACAGAUUACAAGUAAUGUGAUACAUAGCAAUAGAAACUGGACAUGGGCUCUCUAAAAAUUUUAACACUUACAAUAUUGCUUAAGUCCACUCCUUGCCUAGCACCAACAGAACAGAAAAAUUGAAAAGUUAUAUAAAUCCUGUGCACAGACUAAAAUAAAGGAGAGGUGAAAUUCUGUAAAAGAAUGAGAAUGUGGAUCAUUAUUUCUGGGUAUAUCUAUUUAUGAGAUAAGAAGAAUUAGAAGAUGGUAACUUAUCUAGAGAACUAAGAAGAGUGAAAUAUUAACCUAUACAGAGCUAACUCCUGAAUUCUGGCACCUUAGGUGGUAUAAUUUUCCUUUGGGUCUUUAUAGUUUUUCACAAAUUAAAAAACUGUCAAAAAUGUUUCCAUUUCUGGCAAAGACGGGUAAUAAAUACCAGAAUUAGCAAAAUUAAUUCUAAACUAAAUAAUUCUCCAGCUCUGGUACUGCCUAAUAAAUCUCAAAAACAAGACUAAAAAGAUCAAAGUAUUUCCAAGUAACUGACUUUGUCCCCCCAAAAAAGAUCAAGAAUAAUUAUAAGAAUACAUAAAUAUCCAGUCAGCACUCAACAAAGUACAGUUCACAAUGUCUGGCAUCCAACCAAAAACUAUAGAUGUUAGAAGAAGUAGGAAAAUAUGACCCAUAAUGAGGUCAAAAAUCAAUCAAUUGAAACCAACCCAGAACAGACACAGAUGUUAGACUAGCAGAAAAGGGCAUUAAAACAGUUCUUAUAACUUAAUUCCGUAUGUUCAGAAAGUUAAGUAGAGACAUGGGAAACAUUAAAAAGACUCAAAAAAACUUCUAUAGAUGAAAACCACAAUGUAUGAAGUAAAAGCUAUACUGGAUGGAAUUAACAGUGUAUUAGAAAUUGCAGAAGAAAAGAUUAGUAAACCAAAAGUCGCAGAAAUAGACACUAUCCAAAAUGAAACAUAUAUAGAAAAAAUAAUUUUAUAAAAAGAGCUGUGAGACAAUUCCAAGUAGUCUACUGUGCAUUUAACUGCUGUCCCUGAAGGAGGGAGAUGGAAGAAAAAUAUUUGGAAAAAUGAUAGCCAAUGUUUUUCCAAAUUCGAUGAAAACUAAUACAAGAAGUGCAAUAAACCUCAAGUGCAACAGACACGAAGAAAUAUACAUCAAGGCACAUUGUGAUCAAAUUGGUCAAAAUCAGUGUUAAAGCCUUAAAAGCAACCCAGAAGUAGGGGUUGGGGAGCUAUCUUACAUAGAAACAAAGAAAAAUAUGACAAAAUAUUUCUCUUUAGAAUCAACAAAAUGAGAAGAGAAUAAAGCAACAUUUUUAAAACA